CCGGAUCCCCGGUGCUUGGAGCACAGCCUCCCAGAUGGAGCCACGAGGCCGCACGGACAGGCCCGGACCCCACGCUGACCAAUAGCCCAUCAUUAACGGGGGCGGCGCGGGCGGCGUUUGUGCUGCAGAACAGGACAGCCUCUAAGUCUCCCACUCACCCGAGGGAUGGAACCCGCAAGCUUGGUGUAUCCAGACGAGGCUCCAACCAACUGAGCGCCCGGCCAGGGCCUCUUUGCAUGUUUUCAAUUGCUCCCCCUCCAACCCCCCAAAAAUUGGCUGCAGAACAUAUUCCCGCAGGAUAUUCCCCAUGCAGGCCCCGGGGGCCUCUCACCCUGCCCACCCUGUGAUGUAGCAAAAAGCCUGCAUCUUUGAAAUACCCGAAGCUAAGGAAUGGGAUCGGGGAGCUGCAUGGGACAAAGCCUCUUUAUUUCCGUCAUCACUUUGUUCCAGCCUGGAGAUAAUUUCUCUCUGGCCGGCGAUGGGCUUCUGUGCUCCUGCUGGGCUUUGUCCCCCGCCAGCUCUUGCUGCUGCACAGGCAGAGCUGCAUAAGGAGGCUUUUCAGCCGGAAGCCUGAGGUGUUGAACCCGUGCCAUGGGGACGGAGCCUUCAAUGGACCUCUAUCUGGUCUUUCUCAACACCAAAGUGCGGAGACUCGCAGAAAAGCGUCUGUAGGAGUGGCGUCCCGUGUGCUGGCGCUCUGCUCCUUUAUGCUUCUCUAGAGACUCAAGCUGUUGCGUGUUGUUUUGGUUCCUGCGCGCACCCUGAUGCCCAUAGGGCAGGCGCUGUCUGGGCGAGGCUUCCCACGAGCCACGCGGGUCAUCAGACCCGGUUUCAGCUGAACUCUAACAGAAAGAGCUUUAUUCCUGGCGGUGCUGUUACCAGGAAUGACUUGGCUCUGAGGGGAGGGAGUCGGUGUGUAAAGCUGGCAGUUCCAGUGCUGGUGCCCACGGAAGUGCAUGGAGUCUUUGCUCAAGAGGGAACGCAGCUGUUCGAGAACACAGGGUGGGCUCCCUGCAGGGCUUUUGUGAUGGGAGAUGUGGCACACGGGGGUGCACCACCCAGAGACGGCUACGUGUCAGUGCUCAUUAUUAGUGUUUUCCUAACUCCCAUUAAAAACCCCAUUUAGAGUA